rnacentral:lncRNA from 1 species
UCAAGUAAUUCUAAGUUCUUAGCAAAGUCAUCGGAUAUAAAUGAACAAGUUGCACCCGAAUCAAAUAAUACAUAAGCAUUAACUUUAUUGAUCGGAAUGAUACCUGACACCACAUCGCGAGACUGCACUGCAUCCUAUACUAUCAUGUUGAAUGUUCUGGCGGUCGGUCGGUUGGUUGCAGUUGGUCCUGCGAUAGUCAGAGUG